UUAACUCAUAUUUGUAUGGAAUGGGAUAGUUUGCCUAUGUCUGCCGCUAGGGGCGCUGUUUCAAUUGCAUACAAAUUUAGUUA
rnacentral:pre_miRNA from 1 species